UAGACAAGUUAAUAUUUGCAAUUUAUAAUUAUAGGCUAAUUAAGAGGGGAAAUCGGUGAAAUUCCGGUACGGUCCCGCCACUGUGAUGCCGAUGUGUUUCAGUCAUCUUUGUGAAUUAACAUUGCUAUAUGUAUACACCUAUGAUUGAUUCGAGGCUAAGUCAGGUACUUCUUUGCGAGAAUUGUUUUGACG
rfam:Eubacterium infirmum F0142 genomic scaffold supercont1.2, whole genome shotgun sequence.